rnacentral:misc_RNA from 1 species
UUUUAGCCCUGAUUGAACGGCAUGUUUGAGCUCUUUUCUUUAUUUUUUGGCGGAGCGGCUUUGCCGCUCCGCCAAAAAAUAAAGAAAAAGCGAGUAGUGAAAGCAGGAUUAAGC